GUGUAGUUACUGUCGUUCGUGUAUUAUGGUAAUGAGUUCUUCCAAUUAUUGCUUCGGUUUACCUAGACAAAAGAAGAGAGUUUUAUUAAUAUUUAAAAAUAAUAAAAUAAAAUAAACUAAAAUAAAAAUUGGGUUGCCUCCCAAUAAGCGCUUGUUUAACGUAACUAGCUUGACGCCCCAACUAGUAUUGGGGCUGUUCCAGCAGAAUUCUUUCGUUCGUAUGAGCUUGAAAAUUCUCAUUUUUUAUCACAACCACCAUAUUUGGAUUUAAUCGUCCUUGCGCUUCUUUCUUUGGUUUCGUAUUUUCC
rnacentral:lncRNA from 1 species